UAUUUCAGGUAAAGAACAUUGCAGAUCUGUAUGGUGUAAUCAUAUCAGAGGAAAAGAACCAAACGGAGAUUGUUGAGUCAAGGUGAUAAACAGUAAAAUAAUUCUCAUCUGGUCCCCAGCAAAAGGAAUCUUCUCAGAACUUUUUUGGAAGUUUUUGUGAAUGAGGAAAACCAGUAGUGUUUGAACUCUCUAUUAAGUUUAAUAGAACAACAAGAGGUC
rnacentral:lncRNA from 1 species